GAUGAACGCUGGCGGCGUGCCUAAUACAUGCAAGUCGAGCGAACAGACGAGGAGCUUGCUCCUCUGACGUUAGCGGCGGACGGGUGAGUAACACGUGGAUAACCUACCUAUAAGACUGGGAUAACUUCGGGAAACCGGAGCUAAUACCGGAUAAUAUAUUGAACCGCAUGGUUCAAUAGUGAAAGACGGUUUUGCUGUCACUUCUAGAUGGAUCCGCGCCGCAUUAGCUAGUUGGUAAGGUAACGGCUUACCACGGCAACGAUGCGUAGCCGACCUGAGAGGGUGAUCGGCCACACUGGAACUGAGACACGGUCCAGACUCCUACGGGAGGCAGCAGUAGGGAAUCUGCCGCAAUGGGCGAAAGCCUGACGGAGCGACGCCGCGUGAGUGAUGAAGGUCUUCGGAUCGUAAAACUCUGUUAUUAGUGAAGAACAAAUGUGUAAGUAACUAUGCACGUCUUGACGGUACCUAAUCAGAAAGCCACGGCUAACUACGUG
rnacentral:rRNA from 1 species